UCUCACAUGCAGAGCUUUGUAAUUUCCUAACCAUGCUUUAGCAUGCAGAGCUCACACCACUGGGUUUUUGAUGCUAUAACAGCACAGAGGAUGACAUGCUUUGAAUUACAAUGAAGAGAAGGCACCUCACAGGAAGAAAGGGAAUGCAGUUGUCCCAAGGACUUGAAGAACCUUCUUAGUUCAUCUUAGCACAUGGCAAGUUCAGGAAAUCAGGAUACUGUCUGCCCUUGUAGAUGCGCCGAGAGUGCGGAAGCGCUGGUCCGGGACCUAGAACCAGUUGGAAGAGAAAAGGAAACUAAACGUUUCACACCGAGACACUCUUCUUUCCUUCUUCAAAUCCCCUGUCUUUCAAACAAAGGAAGCACCUGAUGAAUGGCCAAAUGCUCAACCACCAAAUAAAAAAAAAAUAUCCAGAAAAUUACAGCUUAUGUCUGGUUCUAAACGUUUCACGAUGGCCCCAAUUCAUCUCGAAACCAUCAGAGGCGAGCUGGAGGCUGCAGAAUCAUUAUUUCAUGUCUCACAAAUGCUUUUUUGUUUGUAAGAAAACUCAAUUUUUCAAUCAUGUUGUAACGAACAGGAAAUCAGCACCAUUCUAACCCUCCUUUCUUCUUUCAUUAAGGCAGCCAAAAGUAAUUUCCAUUGUCUUUCAUUUUCUACAGUGACUUGAAAAAUAUCUACAUUGACACAUUGCAAUUGUUAUUAUUUUGUUUUUUUACUUCACUGCUAGCAGGUACACAUUUAGUGUAAAAUAAUAGUGUUUGUCACAAUUAGAUACCAUUGCUUUUUCAUAGUGAAAUAGUGAACUGUAUACACAUUUCAUCCAUAUUUAGCUUCCAAAGACCUCCUUGUUUAUGGUACACAGUGAGAUUCACAUGUGCUCUUAAUUUAAACAUUGCAUUCUGCAUGCCUCACAUUAUGCCAAAAUGAGGUAAUCCCCAACUACAAAAGAAAGAUUAAAGUUAAAGGUGUUAGAGUUAUAACACACACAUGUUAGGCAAUUAUUAAUAACAAAUUGUUAGGAUUUAGGAGCAAUACAUUUUAUACUAGACUGCAUCGCCUUUUGCCCUUUCAAAGGACUAAGAUAAUAAAAAAAAAGAAUGAAUAACGUAAAAGAACAUGGGUUUGGGACACAUAGUGACUUUGGGUGGGAAAUGUUUCCUCCUGUUCUCAUGUGUCUCGGAAUGAAGAUAGCAAUUCUGGUUCACCUUGAGCAUAGAAUGUAUUUAUCUGGGAAUCCACCCUAAAAUGAUAGACAAUUCAAACAAAUAAUA